rnacentral:rRNA from 1 species
UAAUACGUAGGAGGCAAGCGUUGUCCGGAUUUACUGGGCGUAAAGAGCGUGUAGGCGGUCGGUUAAGUCCGCUGUGAAAUCUCCUGGCUCAACCAGGAUAAGUCAGUGGAAACUAGUCGACUUGAGGACGGUAGAGGGGGGUGGAAUUCCCGGUGUAGUGGUGAAAUGCGUAGAGAUCGGGAGGAACACCAGCGGCGAAGGCGGCCCCCUGGGCCGCUCCUGACGCUGAGACGCGAAGGCCAGGGUAGCGAACGGGAUUAGAUACCCCGGUAGUCCUGGCAGUAAACGAUGAGCACUAGGUGUGGGGGGUAUCGAGCCCCUCCGUGCCGUAGUCAACACAAUAAGUGCUCCGCCUGGGGAGUACGGCCGCAAGGUUA